rnacentral:piRNA from 1 species
UGAGUGUUGGCCUGUGAAGCUACA